CUGUUUGGGCAUGAGUCCGGCGCGUGUCGGGUUUUGAGCUGCCGCGAUCCCGGGACUGAGAGACUGGUGAUAUUUAUAUCUGGGGCUGGAAUGAAUCAGGGCAGCUGGCCCUGCCCACCAGGAACCUGGCAGAGGAUGG
rnacentral:sRNA from 1 species